rnacentral:misc_RNA from 1 species
AAGAAAUGCGGCGGAGGGACCCAAAAGGCCCCCGAGCCAACACGUUCUACCCUGUCUUUUCGAUACCUCCACCUCCUCCCCGGCCUCCGGGCCGGGACGGCUACUUCAAAAAAAACCUUGCAGUUUACAGUCAAUUCAGUAUCUUGUAACAAAAUUA